CAUUGGUGAUGCUGAGGUUGAAAGGGUCAGAAGCUUCAAGUUCCUCGGUGUGCACAUCACUGAGGACCUCUCUUGGACACUGCACAUGGACACAAUAACUAAGGAAGCCCGGCAGCGGCUCUUUUUCCUGAGAAGACUGAUGAUGUUUGGCAUGAACGCCAGCAUCCUCACAAACCUCUACAGUCGUACCAUCGAGAGUCUGCUGACGG